CGAACGCUGGCUCCGUGCUUAAAGAUGCAAGUCGAGCGGAAAGGCCCUUCGGGGUACUCGAGCGGCUAACCGGUGAGUAACACGUGAGCAAUCUGCCCCUAGCUCUGGGAUAGCUCCGGGAAACCGGAAUUAAUACCUGAUAUGACCAUGGCUGACAUCGGCCAUGGUGGAAAGCUUUUGCGGCUAGGGAUGAGCUCGCGGCCUAUCAGCUUGUUGGUGGGGUAACGGCCCACCAAGGCGACGACGGGUAGCCGGCCUGAGAGGGCGACCGGCCACACUGGGACUGAGACACGGCCCAGACUCCUACGGGAGGCAGCAGUGGG
rnacentral:rRNA from 1 species